CCUACGGGUGGCAGCAGUGGGGGAUAUUGCACAAUGGGGGAAACCCUGAUGCAGCGACGCCGCGUGGGUGAAGAAGCGCCUCGGCGCGUAAAGCCCUGUCAGCAGGGAAGAAAAUGACGGUACCUGAAGAAGAAGCCCCGGCUAACUCCGUGCCAGCAGCCGCGGUAAUACGUAGGGGGCAAGCGUUAUCCGGAUUUACUGGGUGUAACGGGGGCGCAGACGGCGAUGCAAGCCAGGGGUGAAAGCCCGGGGCCCAACCCCGGGACUGCUCUUGGAACUGCGUGGCUAGAGUGCAGGAGGGGCAGGCGGAAUUCCUGGUGUAGCGGUGAAAUGCGUAGAUAUCAGGAGGAACACCGGUGGCGAAGGCAUCUCACGAAUCCGCGAUUGACGCUGAUGCACGAAAGCGUGGGUAUCAAACAGGAUUAGAUACCCGUGUAGUC
rnacentral:rRNA from 1 species